UGGCAGAACGGGUCGAGUAACGCAUCGGAACGCUGCCCAGUCGUAGGGGGAUAGCCCGGCGAUAGCCGGAUUAAUACCGCAUACGACCUGACGGGUGAAAGCGGGGGACCGAAAGGCCUCGCGCGAUUGGAGCGGCCGAUGUCAGAUUAGGCAGUUGGUGGGGUAAAGGCCUACCAAGCCGACGAUCUGUAGCUGGUCUGAGAGGACGACCAGCCACACUGGGACUGAGACACGGCCCAGACUCCUACGGGAGGCAGCAGUGGGGAAUUUUGGACAAUGGGCGCAAGCCUGAUCCAGCCAUGCCGCGUGCGGGAAGAAGGCCUUCGGGUUGUAAACCGCUUUUGUCGGGGAAGAAAUACGCCGGGCGAAUAACCUGGCGGGAUGACGGUACCCGAAGAAUAAGCACCGGCUAACUACGUGCCAGCAGCCGCGGUAAUACGUAGGGUGCAAGCGUUAAUCGGAAUUACUGGGCGUAAAGCGUGCGCAGGCGGUUGUGCAAGACAGAUGUGAAAUCCCCGGGCUCAACCUGGGAACUGCAUUUGUGACUGCACGUGCUGGAGUGCGGCAGAGGGGGAUGGAAUUCCGCGUGUAGCAGUGAAAUGCGUAGAUAUGUGGAGGAACACCGAUGGCGAAGGCAAUCCCCUGGGCCUGCACUGACGCUCAUGCACGAAAGCGUGGUGAGCAAACAGGAUUAGAUACCCUGGUAGUCCACGCCCUAAACGAUGUCAACUGGUUGUUGGGUGGGUUUCUACUCAGUAACGUAGCUAACGCGUGAAGUUGACCGCCUGGGGCAGUA
rnacentral:rRNA from 1 species